GGCCAAGUCCUUAGCUUUUGGCUAAAUACUAACUGUUCAAAGUUGAUGCCUCAUGAAGGCACUGAUAACACUCCUACCCUGUGCAUGGUUAUGAUCUGUGGAUAUUCCCAGUGCUGGUUCACUUCCUGGAUGUUAUUUUCAAAUCCUCGGUGGUAAAGGGAAUGGAGGCCAAUGACCUCAGAUGAAUAUCCUGAUAAUGUCCACCGUCCUGUCUGAAGU
rnacentral:lncRNA from 1 species